GAAGACGUCAUUUGGAUGUUAUGAUACCAAAGGCACAUUCAAUGCAUCUUCGAGCUCUGGAAAGUCUACUGUUAAAAUAUUCGUUGUUUGCAUUUAUAUCCCUUCUUGAAUAUGGCCUUAACAGAUUUCCGAGUAGUGGAUAAGCGUCAUCACCAAUAAAAACAUAUGGCAUCUUUGUGUUUGUUCCAGGCUAGCAAGAAUCUGGCGGCAAGAAUUGUAGAGCCUUUAGCAGCAUAUACAGUUGUGAUGCAUUGAAUGUUCCACCAUCACUUUAUUUUCCGUAACCUCCAACUUCUAUGAAGAAUGUUUAAAAAAAAAAUGGAAGAACAUCCGCGACCAAUUCCGAAGCGAAUGGAAAUAAUUCCUAUUCCAAAAUCUGGAGACCCUGGAAUUUCGGAGAAGGCUUACAGCCAUUACACUUCUUGGCCUCAUUUCACCAGUUUGCUUUUUUAAAAGACCAGAUGAAACCGCACAAAUUGGUUGGAAGUUUUGACGCAUCAUCACAGUUUUCCUUCUAGGCAGCUUCACCGGGAUUUUCAUCAGAAGUGUCUCUAGAUGAGACCUUCUCUGAGGAAAUUCGAGAGCUUUGUGAUGCUCAACCAAUUUGUCCACCGAAAAAAAAAACAAAAGAAGGUGACUGCAGCGGAGGAAUUGGUUGCUAUUGAACAACAAAAGUUGCUGUUGCUCGAAAAAAAACAAAUGGCAAAAAAGAGAAAGACGACGACGACGCAUUUUUUGACAGCCUUCUACCAUACAUGCGGAAAAUGGAUCCGAAAAAAAAAAUUAUUAUGCCGAAUGAAUAUUCCGAUACCGACAAACUAUAAUACACAAUAAAUAUAUUAAAAACUUA